GAAGCUAGUCUUCAGAAAUCAAACAAUCCAAUUAAAAAGUGGGGUAUAGAACUAAAUAGACAAUUCUCCAUAGAGGAAUCUAAAAUGGCUGAAAGACACAUAAGAAAGUGUUCAAUAUCCUUAGCCAUCAGGGAAAUGCAAAUCAAAACAACUGUGAGAUACCAUCUUACUCCUGUCAGAAUGGCCAAAAUCAAAAACACCAAUGACAGUUUAUGCUGAAGAGGAUGUGGAGAAAGGGGAACACUUCUACACUGCUGCUUCUGCAAGGAUCAUGGAGAUGUCAGACACCUGUAUUUUGGAGCAAUGCUUCAACUCAUCCUACUGAGGUCUCCUGGUUGCUGAAUUUCUUAGUCACCACCUUGCCUAGCUCCAGGCUUAGGCGGUCAGCAGUUUUCUGGGAUAAGUCCUGUUGGGAUAUCCUGCUGAAGAUUUUGAUGUUAGGCAUCUUGGGCAACUACACAAAUGCGCCCUUCGCUCAGUGGUCAUCGCUGGUGCAGAGAUUGGAUCCGAAGUAAGCUGGUAGCCUAUACACCUACAGCACCGCUGCUGCUCAGCCAUCUUACAUUCUUGGAGCACACAGCUCUAAAUCACACACUGAGCACCAAGCGAGGAGGCGGGAUCACAGAUCACAAAGGUAUCUGGUCCAGCUUAAGCAGCUGAGAAUGGAUGCCCGGAUGGCCCCACUUCUGCUUUUCAUACUGACUGAUGAGACUGAAGAUGACCACCAGAGCAUGCCACAGAACUGCCAAGGAAUGUACCCUAGAUGCAAGAUGAACAAGGGCAUCU
rnacentral:lncRNA from 1 species